rnacentral:rRNA from 1 species
GAUCAAGUGACUAAGUGCACAUGGUGGAUGCCUUGGC